rnacentral:rRNA from 1 species
AGCUCCAAUAGCGUAUAUUAAAGUUGUUGCGGUUAAAAAGCUCGUAGUUGGAUCUGCGUCCAUCAAGACUGGUAGCCCAUUGGGUUUCACUUGUUCUUGUGGACUUAUUACUGGUUUUUCCUUGGUGCUCUUAACUGAGUGCCUUGGUUGACUAGUGCUUUUACUUUGAAAAAAUUAGAGUGCUCAAAGCAGGCGUUUGCCUGAAUAGUGGUGCAUGGAAUAAUGGAAUAGGACCUCGGUUCUAUUUUGUUGGUUUUCGGAGCUCGAGGUAAUGAUUAAGAGGGACAGACGGGGGCAUUCGUACUGCUGCGUUAGAGGUGAAAUUCUUGGAUCGCAGCAUGACGAACAACUGCGAAAGCAUUUGCCAAGAAUGUUUUCA